AUUGAACGCUGGCGGCAGGCCUAACACAUGCAAGUCGAACGAGUGGCGGACGGGUGAGUAAUGUCUGGGAAACUGCCUGAUGGAGGGGGAUAACUACUGGAAACGGUAGCUAAUACCGCAUACCAUCGGAUGUGCCCAGCUGGGAUUAGAUAGUGGGUGGGGUAACGGCUCACCUAGGCGACGAUCCCUAGCUGGUCUGAGAGGAUGAACAGCCACAUGGGAACUAAGACACGUUCCAGACUCUUACGGGAGGCAGCAGUGGGGAAUAUUGCCCAAUUGGUGCAAGCCGGAUGCAUCCCUGCCGCGUGUAUUAAGAAGGCCUUCGGGUUGUAAAGUACUUUCAGCGGGGAGGCGUUACCCGCAGAAGAAGCACCGGCUAACUCCGUGCCAGCAGCCGCGGUAAUAC
rnacentral:rRNA from 1 species